UACGUAGGGGGCAAGCGUUAUCCGGAUUUACUGGGUGUAAAGGGAGCGUAGACGGCAAUACAAGUCGGAAGUGAAAUACCCGGGCUCAACCUGGGAACUGCUUUGGAAACUGUAUGGCUGGAGUGCUGGAGAGGUAAGCGGAAUUCCUAGUGUAGCGGUGAAAUGCGUAGAUAUUAGGAGGAACACCAGUGGCGAAGGCGGCUUACUGGACAGUAACUGACGUUGAGGCUCGAAAGCGUGGGGAGCAGACAGG
rnacentral:rRNA from 1 species